AUUAAAUAAUACCAGUUACGCACUGGGGUCGAUAUAAUCGACCAAAGGCAGCGAACUGGCAAACUCGUUAGCACAUCGGGCAAAAUGCUUAACAGUAUUUCGUCUGCCCUUACGUUCUUAGUUCAAAUUCGGCCGAGGUCGACUUUGCCAUUCAUCCUUUCGGGAUCGAUUAAAUAAAUACCAGUUACGCACUGGAGUCAAUGUAAUCAACUUAAUCCCUUUGUAUGUCUUUGUGUGUCCGCUCUAUGUUUAACCUCCCUGUAGGCAAUAACG